rnacentral:rRNA from 1 species
UAAGGGCGACUGAAACGGGAGUAGCCCAGCGCAAAGCCUCGUGCUUCCUAACAGGGCACGAGGGGUGCUGCGUUCGGGAGAGGUCUUGCACGCGGUCCCGCGCCGCCUAAGUUGUACAUGAAUGACUCUAAUACCCACGGAGGGUGUCAGGCCCGUGUGGCGGUAUUAAAAGACCCCCGAAGGGGGGAAGGUACGGGACUGCGGAAAGGGCCUCUCCUUAGAGUCGGGUUGCCUGAAACCGCAACCUAAAGUAGGUGGUAAACUCCAUCUAAGGCUAAAUACGACCACGAGACCGAUAGCGAACAAGUACCGUGAGGGAAAGUUGAAACAGAACCCUGUAGAGAGAGUUCAAGAGAACGUGAAACCGUUAAGAGGCUAAACGGGUGGAGAUUCGAAGAUCGAACUGGGGGGAUUCAGUUCGUCCGGCUUUAGUCGGGAGGGGGUUUUCGGGCUCACAACAGCGACCCUCGAGUGUGGUAAUGCGGUUUUAAUGCUGCUGCUGCUGUCUGCUAGUCAGUCAGUUAGUUGGUUAGUUUUGCCGUGUGCACAAAGAGGGCGCGGCCUGUCCCCUGCUCGGCGCCGGCGGGCGAUUUUCCCCCCGCAGUAGGUCACCGCGAUGCGUUGGGAGGGCGUCUGAGGCCCGGGCUUAUUUGGCAGGAACCGACGUCGCUGUUAUUUCCUCCGCUCGUCGGGGGUCUGACACAAGCGGCGUCUGGGGAUCCCCCGGUGUACAAGUUACUAUUCACCUAGUAAUCCUUGUCUUGCUCUCCCGACGAUCGCUCCUUGGGGUGGCGCUUUGUACCACGCUUUAUGCGGUCGGCGCGUGCCUUCGCGGUGUGCAAAGAGUCGAGGCUCUACCCGACCCGUCUUGAAACACGGACCAAGGAGUCCAACAUGUAUGCGAGUCAUUGGGCUGACUAAACCCACAGGCGCAAUGAAAGUGAGAAGAAGCCUUCCUGCUUCUACUACUUGAAGAAAAGGAGCAGGAGGAGAAGGGCCGAUCCCUCGGAGCGUACGACUACUUCCUCGGUUGUCUGUCACCAUUGUUGUUUUCCCCGGACGGAGUUUUGACACAUGCCUUCCUCCUCGGGGUUGACACAGACGGGCAGAUCGAGUUACUACUACUAAUACUUCUUGACUCGUCAAGAUUGUUAUUAUUGUUAUUCGGGAAGAGGAGGAUUAUAUGGUCCGUACGGUUCCGCAAGCCUCUCCCGCCGGUCGGUGGGUAGUAGUUGAUAAUAAUUGGCUACUAGUCAAACCACCAAAGGCAGGGGAGGGGGGCGCAGGUCCGGGACUCGCCACGACGAACAGCUUGCUCGCUUGCUGGGUUAAUGACUGAUGUUGUUGCCUUCGAAGCUGCUGCUGGAUGUGUCGGCGAGUACCUAGAGCAUAAAUGUUGGUACCCGAAAGAUAGUGAACUAUGCCUGGCCAGGAUGAAGCCAGGGGAAACCCUGGUGGAGGUCCGUAGCGAUUCUGACGUGCAAAUCGAUCGUCAGAGCUGGGUAUAGGGGCGAAAGACCAAUCGAACUAUCUAGUAGCUGGUUCCCUCCGAAGUUUCCCUCAGGAUAGCUGGCACUCGCAAAAGACGAGUUUCAUCCGGUAAAGCGAAUGAUUAGGGGUGUUGGGGACGAAAUGUCCUCAGCCUAUUCUCAAACUUUAAAUGGGUGAGGUGCCGGGCUUGCUUUAUUAAUAAUAAUGAUAAUAUCGUUAUUAUCGUCGUUGUCGUCGUCGUAUUCGUAUGAUGGCGAUGAUGGCGAUGAAGCCCCGGACACGAAUCGGAGUGCUUAGUGGGCCAAUUUUGGUAAGCAGAACUGGCGCUGUGGGAUGAACCAAACGUCGAGUUAAGGGGCCAAAAUGGAUGCUAAUUCCGAUACCAUGGAAGGGAGUUGCUUGCUAUAGACAGCAGGACGGUGGCCAUGGAAGUUGGAAUCCGCUAAGGAGUGUGUAACAACUCACCUGCCGAAGCAAGUAACCCUGAAAAUGGCAUGGCGCUCAAGCAUCCUCCCGAUACUCGACCGCCGGGUGCACUAUUGGCUGCAACGAGGAGGUCUCGAGGCCCCGGCGAGUAGGAGGAGCGCGGUGGUGAGCGUUGAAGGAUUCGGCGUGAGCCGGUCUGGAGCCUCCACUGGUGCGGAUCUUGGUGGUAGUAGCAAAUAUUCGAGCGAGACCACCCUCGUUGACCGACGCGGAGAAGGGUUCCACGCCAACAUCGCUUGGUCGUGGGUGAGUCGUACCUAAGCCCGGGGAUAGCAUCCCGAUUUACUAGGUGUGCUGGCUUUCCUGUCCCAAGAUACAGUUGUUAUGCACCACCAUCCUGUAAAAAAACAAAACAAGAAGGACGAGAGAGAGAGAGAGAGAGAGAGAG